rnacentral:rRNA from 1 species
GAUGAACGCUGGCGGCGUGCCUAAUACAUGCAAGUCGAGCGAACAGAUGAGGAGCUUGCUCCUCUGACGUUAGCGGCGGACGGGUGAGUAACACGUGGAUAACCUACCUAUAAGACUGGGAUAACUUCGGGAAACCGGAGCUAAUACCGGAUAAUAUAUUGAACCGCAUGGUUCAAUAGUGAAAGACGGUUUUGCUGUCACUUAUAGAUGGAUCCGCGCCGCAUUAGCUAGUUGGUAAGGUAACGGCUUACCAAGGCAACGAUGCGUAGCCGACCUGAGAGGGUGCUCGGCCACACUGGAACUGAGACACGGUCCAGACUCCUACGGGAGGCAGCAGUAGGGACUCUUCCGCAAUGGGCGAAAGCCUGACGGAGCAACGCCGCGUGAGUGAUGAAGGUCUUCGGAUCGUAAAACUCUGUUAUUAGGGAAGAACAAAUGUGUAAGUAACUAUGCACGUCUUGACGGUACCUAAUCAGAAAGCCACGGCUAACUACGU